rnacentral:rRNA from 1 species
GACGAACGCUGGCGGCGUGCUUAACACAUGCAAGUCGAACGGAAAGGCCCCGGUGGGGGUCCUCGAGUGGCGCACGGGGGGGUAACACGUCGAUAACCUACCUAUAACACUGGGAUAACUUCGGGAAACCGGAGCUAAUCCCUGAUAAUAUAUUGAACCGCAUGGUUCAAUAGUGAAAGACGGUUUUGCUGUCUCUUAUAGAUGGAGCCGCGCCGCAUUAGCUAGAUGGUAAGGUAACGGCUUAACAAGGCAACGACGCGUAGCCGACCUGAGCGGGUGGUUGGCCACCCGGGCAGUGAGACAGGGUCGAGACUCCUGCGGUGGGCCGCAGUCGGGAAUCUUCCGCAAGGGGGCAAAGGGUGACGGAGCAACACCGCGGGAGGGAUGAAGGUCCUCGGAUCGUAAAACUCUGUUAUUAGGAGAGAACAAAUGUGUAAGUAACUAUGCACGUCUUGACGGUACCUAAUCAGAAAGCCACGGCUAACUACGUG